rnacentral:rRNA from 1 species
AGCAGCCGCGGUAAUUCCAGCUCCAAUAGCGUAUAUUAAAGUUGUUGCAGUUAAAAAGCUCGUAGUUGAAUUUCGGGGUUUAUCCGUUGGUCGGGCUUUCGGGUCUGUACUGGCGUGAUGGAUUCCUACCUUCUGAAUAGCCAGCAUGUCAUUAAUUUGGUGCGUUGGGGAAGCAGGACUGUUACCUUGAAAAAUUGAGUGCUUAAAGCAGGCUAUUGCCUGAUACAUUAGCAUGGAAUAAUGAAAUAGGACGCAUGGUUCUAUUUUGUUGGUUUCUAGGAUCACCGUAAUGAUUAAUAGGGAUAGUUGGGGGCAUUAGUAUUCAAUUGUCAGAGGUGAAAUUCUUGGAUUUAUGAAGACUAACUUCUGCGAAAGCAUUUGCCAAGGAUGUUUCAUUAAUCAAGAACGAAAGUUAGGGAUCGAAGACGAUCAGAUACCGUCGUAGUCUUAA